rnacentral:lncRNA from 1 species
AAAGACUACAAGAUCUAGCCACAAAGAAACAUGUCUCGGCCAAGAACAAGAACAACUUCUACACUUUCCUUUUUUUUUUUUUUUUUGUAUUUUUAAGCUAGCUAGCACAAGAUUGAUCUUGUGAAAACAAAAUCAAGCCAUGAUUUGAUACCAAAUGAUACAAGAUCGACAAGGAAGACACUAACACACACCAAAACAGUCCAUGAUUUGAAGAACCGAGGAUCCCUUUUGGUCUAUACAAUAACAAUACAAGCACGAUAAAAACAAGAUUCUAAGGUGUUCAACACCUAUAAUCAGCGAGCCACAAACUAAGAUUACAACACAAUAACAAGAACAAAAAUGACACAACAAGGUCUCGGGUUUGAACACCCAAAAUGGAGAAUGAACACAACAACAAUAAUAAGAUAGAAUGAUAGAUAACUUGACACACAAUGCACAAACACUAUGAACCCAAGUGUAUAUUGAACACUAAGACCCAAGAAUUCAUACAAAUAACAUCAAGUUCUUACGGUGACCUCAAGGGAACGGAAUCCCCAAGCAACCAACGUUUCAAAACAAGCAACCAACACAAGCGAUUCCACACUUGUAUGAACACUCUCAAAGAGCUCUCAAAAUAUCAUCUAAGUUAUGAGAAAAUGACCUAAUGUGUUCUAUUUAUAGCGUAGGUUACAACUUAUUACAAAAUGAUUAAAAUGCUCUUAAUGAGUCAACACUCCAAAGCUUGUUCCAUUAGUUGGCCAGUCACCCGAGCACGAGUUCUUUAUGUAUUGAUCCAUAAUCACGAUAGUACUCGUAUCAUUCUCCCCUUCUUGAAAAAGGAUUCGACCUCGAAUCCGAACCUUCAAAAUAAUAGAGGAGACAAAAGAACAUAUAUUCCUCGUGACAUGAGGGUUAAAGUUAGCAUAAUCAAAAAAAAAAUAUCAAACCACGAGUGUGCAUUCUACACAUGCCGUGGGAACUUAGGGAAUAAGAUACCCUUCUAAGCACCAAAAGAAAUACUUAUCUAUCCACCUAAGUGUGACAAGAAACAAGACAAAAAGAAAAGUGUACUCCCUUGGAACAAGGACCAUAGUGUACUCUUGGGUUCUUCAUCAUCAAGAGGUCAAAGUGGAAUCAAGAUUUCACCUUCUUCGGGCCAAGCAUCAUCAAUCCGCAAGACACAUUAACUUCCCCUUCUUCCACCACCCUCUCGGGUUCACCAUCAUCUCCAUCAUCCUCUUAAGGGGUUUCUUCACUAACAUCAAUUUUGGUUACUUUAUCCCUAACAAAAUAAGGAUCACUCUGCACUAGUACAAUGUUCAUUCGACUUGGGCACUCGCUAGCUUUGUGACCCCAACCUUGACAUUUAAAACAAAUGAUACCCUUAGGUUUAGGAGUGGAAGAAUUAGUAUCUUCAAUUCGUGGAUACCUUUGGAUUGUUUUAUCAAAUGGCUUAUUCUCUAAGGGCUUGUAGGACUUGUCCCACCUGAAGGUCUUCUUAGCAUAAUUGUUCCUUUCAACUUCAAUGGCCGCUUCUACAAGGUUCUCAAUUCGGUCAAACUUGUGGACAACUAAUUGAGAAACAAAUUCAUAGCACAAGCCACCCUUGAACCGAGCUAGGCAAUGAUUUGGAGGUUCGACUAUAUCAAUACGUAGGAUUAAGUUUUGAAACUCAUCAUAAUACUCAGCCACACUUCUAUCUCCUUGCCUCAAGUUGUGGAGUUUUGUUAGUUGCUCUUAUUUGUACCUUUCCGUGACAUAUCUCUCCCUCAUAAGAGCUUUCAAUUCAUCCCAAUUCAAAAGGUCAAGAUUGUCAUUCCUUGCCCAUUGCAACCGUUUUGUCUCCCACCAAGUAGAUGUAUAACCUUCAAAUUGAGCAAUGACAUGUGCGGCUUUAUUUUGGGAAGUUAACUCGUUGAGUUGGAAAAUCUGAUUACAUUGUAACUCCCAAUCAAGAUAGAGAGAUGGAUCACUAGUCCCUUUGAAAGAAGGAAGAGUGAUCUUAAUGGAAUUUAGGCCCGUGUCUCUACCCAUAUUGCUUCCUUGGUCCACUAGACCCUCUUGAACAUGAGGUCGGUGUCCCAAGUUGCCCCUACCAUGAGGAGCCGGUCUAAUUCUUCCCCCUCGGCCUCUAUGUCUCCCGCCAUAAGCUCUUCUUCUAUUGCGCACAAAUUUCGCAAAAAGAGUUGCUUCAUCUAACCCCUCACCUCCAUAAAGACCCCCACCUUCCACAUCAUCAAUUUGGAUUGGUUGGUUUUGGUUUAGUGGUGCUCUCGGCAUAUCAAGGGGGUCUCAGAUUUGGGAAGUUUCUUGAUGGACUUGACUUCGGUUUUUUGGAUAAGUAGGGACUUGGUGGAUGGGUUCAUGGGUUGGUCUAGGUGGAUUGAGCAAUUGGGAAAAUAUAUCCGGGGUGGUAGCAUGUCCACUAGUCGAGGCGUGGUAGUGUUUCGGACUUGAAUGUUUGGAAUCUAAACGAACUUCCAAUGUAUCCAUUCUCCUUGAAAAGGAACCCUCUAUCCUGUCCAUUCUUUCCUCCAUCCUCUCCAUUCAACCACUAAGAUCAUGUUUCACGCUCAUUAUGGCCGCCAACAAAGCAUCCAUGGUUAACUCUCUCGAGGCUCUUGAACUACCUUCACCCGAAGCCAUCAUACCUAAUAAGAAAUAGUAAACAAAAUACAAACAAUAACAAGUUAAGGUUAGCAAAAAUCAUCCUCACUAACUCUCAAGCUCACACUUUUUCAAGUAUCACUCAAUUGGUCUCACAAGUAUUGGUACUUCGUUUUUACUCCAAUGAAGUUACUUGGUCCCACUUGCGGCUUAAGGUUGGAAUGGAUUUUUGUUUGCAACGACUCAAAAUAAAUUUGUAUUUACUUGAGUCAAAAGGCUACAACGAAUUUUCGAAAAGAUAAAAGCACACAAAGAAACGUAGACACGAAUAAAUGGACCCAAAACUAAUUUACAACCUAGUAGACAAUUACUAGUUUGUUAAUUAGCAAUAGAAUCAACAAAAUGCAACUAAGAAACAAAGAUUAGAAACUAAGAAAUCAAAACAUUCGAGCUUACUUAUGUUGCGUGAACAGUAAAACGUGAUGACGUGGCAGCCACGUAAUUGGUCGUGGUCCCAUACAAUUUUUUUGUUUAAUCACCAAUUUGAAGCUUUUGUCUUGAUACAAUUUGGAUGGAUGAGUUCGUUUUUUGGUGGAAAAAUUCAAGUCUUGGAAACUUUUUCAAAUUCCAACUUAAAAAGUGAGACUUAACUUUACUAUUCCCACAAAACAAGGUCCUUGAAAUAUGAAAAAGUGGUUGACAAGUCUUUGAAGUGAUGUGUUCAAGUCUCUUCACCAACAACUUUUCAACUUUAUCUUACACCCUUUUUGGAUCUAUGUUAUACUUUAUAUUGAUUAAGAGAUGUGAAGAUGUGAAGAACAACAAGAUCUCAACAACAAUUUCUCAAGAACACCACCAACAUUCACCUCCAAGUCCACAACAAUUGCAACACACGGCCAAGAUCAAUAAUAUCAACACACGACCAACUUUCAAUUUACAUCAACAAGGUCAACAACAUAAGCUCAAACCUUUAGAUUUAGACACUUUAGUGUUGGUGAGAAAGAAACCAACACUAGAAACAAUCUAAAAAAACAAAAGAAUACAAGAUCUAGCCACAAAGAAACAUGUCUCGGCCAAGAACAAGAACAACUUCUACACUUUUUUUUUGUAUUUUUAAGCUAACUAGCCCAAGAUUAAUCUUAUGAAAACAAAAUCAAGCCAUGCUUUGAUACCAAAUGAUACAAGAUCUACAAGGAAGACACUAACACACACCAAAACAGUCCAUGAUUUGAAGAAUCGAGGACCCCUUUUGGUGACCCCUCUCGGAUUCACUACACAAUAACAAUACAAGCACGAUAACAACAAGAUUCUAAGGUAUUCAACACCUAUAAUCAGCGAGCCAAAAACUAAGAUUACAACACAAUAACA